AGUAACACGUGACUAACCUACCCUUGAGUGGGGGAUAACCUAGGGAAACCUGGGCUAAUACCGCAUAAUACCUUCGGGUCAAAGGAGCAAUUCGCUUUAGGAGGGGGUCGCAGCCGAUUAGUUAGUUGGCGGGGUAAUGGCCCACCAAGACUGUGAUCGGUAUCCGGCCUGAGAGGGCGCACGGACACACUGGAACUGAAACACGGUCCAGACUCCUACGGGAGGCAGCAGUGGGGAAUUUUGCGCAAUGGGGGAAACCCUGACGCAGCAACGCCGCGUGGAGGAUGAAGCCCCUUGGGGCGUAAACUCCUUUCGAUCGGGACGAUAAUGACGGUACCGAGAGAAGAAGCCCCGGCUAACUUCGUGCCAGCAGCCGCGGUAAUACGAGGGGGGCGAGCGUUGUUCGGAAUUAUUGGGCGUAAAGGGUGCGUAGGCGGUUCAGUAAGUCUUGUGUGAAAUCUUCGGGCUCAACUCGAAGUCUGCAUGAGAAACCGCUGGGCUUGAGUGUGGGAGAG
rnacentral:rRNA from 1 species